rnacentral:rRNA from 1 species
GACGAACGCUGGCGGCGUGCUUAACACAUGCAAGUCGAACGGAAAGGCCCUGCUUUUGUGGGGUGCUCGAGUGGCGAACGGGUGAGUAACACGUGAGUAACCAGCCCUUGACUUUGGGAUAACUUCAGGAAACUGGGGCUAAUACCGGAUAGGAGCUCCUGCUGCAUGGUGGGGGUUGGAAAGUUUCGGCGGUUGGGGAUGGACUCGCGGCUUAUCAGCUUGUUGGUGGGGUAGUGGCUUACCAAGGCUUUGACGGGUAGCCGGCCUGAGAGGGUGACCGGCCACAUUGGGACUGAGAUACGGCCCAGACUCCUACGGGAGGCAGCAGUGGGGAAUAUUGCACAAUGGGCGGAAGCCUGAUGCAGCAACGCCGCGUGCGGGAUGACGGCCUUCGGGUGGUAAACCGCUUUCGCCUGUGACGAAGCGUGAGUGACGGUAAUGGGUAAAGAAGCACCGGCUAACUACGU